AGCGAACGCUGGCGGCAGGCCUAACACAUGCAAGUCGAACGGAUCCUUCGGGAUUAGUGGCGGACGGGUGAGUAACACGUGGGAACGUGCCCUCUGGUUCGUAACAACUGAGGGACACGUGAGAUAAUACCGGAUGUGCCCUUCGGGGGACAGAUUUAUCGCCAUUGGAGCGGCCCGCGUCUGAUUAGCUAGUUGGUGAGGUAAAGGCUCACCAAGGCGACGAUCAGUAGCUGGUCUGAGAGGAUGAUCAGCCACAUUGGGACUGAGACACGGCCCAAACUCCUACGGGAGGCAGCAGUGGGGAAUCUUGCGCAAUGGGCGAAAGCCUGACGCAGCCAUGCCGCGUGAAUGAUGAAGGUCUUAGGAUUGUAAAAUUCUUUCCCCGGGGACGAUAAUGACGGUACCCGGAGAAGAGGCCCCGGCUAACUUCGUGCCAGCAGCCGCGGUAACAC
rnacentral:rRNA from 1 species